rnacentral:rRNA from 1 species
CUUCGGGGUGUGACUGCGUACCUUUUGUAUAAUGGGUCAGCGACUUAUAUUCUGUAGCAAGGUUAACCGAAUAGGGGAGCCGGAGGGAAACCGAGUCUUAAUUGGGCGUUAAGUUGCAGGGUAUAGACCCGAAACCCGGUGAUCUAGCCAUGGGCAGGUUGAAGGUUGGGUAACACUAACUGGAGGACCGAACCGACUAAUGUUGAAAAAUUAGCGGAUGACCUGUGGCUGGGGGUGAAAGGCCAAUCAAACCGGGAGAUAGCUGGUUCUCCCCGAAAGCUAUUUAGGUAGCGCCUCGUGAACUCAUCUCCGGGGGUAGAGCACUGUUUCGGCUAGGGGGCCAUCCCGGCUUACCAACCCGAUGCAAACUGCGAAUACCGGAGAAUGUUAUCACGGGAGACACACGGCGGGUGCUAACGUCCGUCGUGAAGAGGGAAACAACCCAGACCGCCAGCUAAGGUCCCAAAGUCAUGGUUAAGUGGGAAACGAUGUGGGAAGGCCCAGACAGCCAGGAUGUUGGCUUAGAAGCAGCCAUCAUUUAAAGAAAGCGUAAUAGCUCACUGGUCGAGUCGGCCUGCGCGGAAGAUGUAACGGGGCUAAACCAUGCACCGAAGCUGCGGCAGCGAACGUAUCACUUAAAGCGAUUCAGCG